CUCCUUAUCUGAAUUUUAAAGAAACAGAGUUGCUUUAAAUAAUGGCUGCCUCCAAUUCUGCUAUUUCACAUUUCCCUGAGAGCAUCAAAUUGAAAGUCAACGAAAAUAUAUGGUAUCUAAUCAAACUUAAAGCACAAAAUGUUGGCAUAUUCGAAGCAACUGACCAGUCCAAUUUCCCUACAUCCGAGACCUCUACAAUCGAGACAAGGUAUUUCAUUCUUCAUAUUCACAGAGUAUUGUGCCUCUCUCUUUGCAGCAAUUUGUUCGAAAGCUAUUAACUCAUCUCUUUCUCUUAAAAAAAGAAAACUAGUUGUCCCUCUCCGUGGAUGUGCAGUUCCUUUCUUUCGCCGUUUGUACGUAACAACAGCAGCUCCAUCUUGUUUUGUCAUAAAGAGAGAUGUAACUCGCUUUAAAUCGUUCAUCAAACUAAGUCUCGAACCACACUGACGAGGAACAGCACCGCAAGUCUGCAUACAGGAUUCAUGGGCAUUACAACCAAGAUCCGUUCAACUCGUGUCACCGCCCAUUUCCCCUUCACGGUAGAAAGAG